AGAAUACUCCCUUCAUCCGAAAAUACUUGUUAUCAGAAUGAAUUAAAAUGAAUAUAUUUAGAACUAAAAUAUAUCUAGAUACAUCUCUUUUUAUUCAUCUUGAUGACAAGUAUUUCCGGACGGAGGGAGUACAUC
rfam:Triticum urartu cultivar G1812 contig79244, whole genome shotgun sequence.